CAGUCGCCGCGGGAAUACGAAGGGUGCAAGCGUUAAUCGGAAUUACUGGGCGUAAAGCGUGCGUAGGCGGUGAGUUAAGUCUGCUGUGAAAUCCCCGGGCUCAACCUGGGAAUGGCAAUGGAUACUGGCUCGCUAGAGUGUGUCAGAGGAUGGUGGAAUUCCCGGUGUAGCGGUGAAAUGCGUAGAGAUCGGGAGGAACAUCAGUGGCGAAGGCGGCCAUCUGGGACAACACUGACGCUGAGGCACGAAAGCGUGGGGAGCAAACAGGAUUAGAUACCCCGGUAGUCCCUGUCUCUUAUAA
rnacentral:rRNA from 1 species